rnacentral:lncRNA from 1 species
UCUUUGAUCCCCAAAGAACACAGGUUGAAGAUAAAAACACGUGCCAAAUUCGACCCUUUUGAGAUCUUGGGAGGCAGAGGGCUCUGCAAUGGAGAAAAAGGCGUGCAACAAGAGCUACAGAGAAACAUUGAAGAGGAGGCACCACCAGCUGCUGGUGAAGAGGAAGCACCACCAGCUGCUGGUGAAGAGGAGUAUUCAGGUAAGUUGGAAAUAUCAAGUGUGCCGGAAGAUGGUUUCGAAAAGGAGCUGAUGGGAUUAACAGGGGGC